rnacentral:lncRNA from 1 species
UUUGGUGCCUGCCCAUGGGAUAAAUUCUAAGUUGGGUUGGUCACUGGAUGGCUUUUCCUACAAUCUCUACUCCAUUUUUGUACCUAUAUUUCUUUUAGUCAGGAAUAAUUCUUGGUCAAAAAUUUUGAAGGUGGGUUGGUGAUGCUAUCCCUCCACUAGGAGCUCUGUCUAUCUAUUGAAGGUGGUCUCUUCAGGUACCAUCUCCCACUGUUGGGCAUUUUGGCUAAGGUCAUCCCCAUUGAGUCCUGGGAGCCUCUGACAUUUCAGGUCUCUGGGACUUUCUAGAGGUUCCCCUCACCCCCUGUAACUACAUUUUUCCAUUCAUUCUCCUGACUCCUCUAGGCUUCUCUUCUGUCUACCCCCAUACCUGAUUUUACCCACCUUUCCCCUCCACCUCCCUCUUUGCCUACCAUGAUUAUUUUGUUCCCCUUUCUAAGUGGGAUUGAAACAUUCUCACUUUGGCCUUCCUUCUUAUUAAGCUUCUUAUGGUCUGUGGUUUGUAUCUUGAGUACUCUGUUCUCUUUGGCUAAUAUCCACUCAUCAGUGAAUAUAUACCAUGCAUGUCCUUUUGGGUCUGGGUUACAGUACUCAGGAUGAUAUUUUCUAUUUCAAUCCAUUUGCCUGCAAAAUUCAUGAUGUCCUUGUUUUUUUAAUAGCUGAAAACUAUUCCGUUAUGUAAAUGAACCACAUUUUCUGUAUCAAUUCUUCGUUUAAGGAAUGUCUGUGUUGUUUCCAGCUUUUGACUAUUACGAAUAAGGCUGUUAUGAACAUAGUGUAGCAUAUGUAUGCCCAGAAGUGGUAUAGCUGGGUCUUCAGGUAGAAUUAUCUUGGUGUAGCUCUAACCAAGCAAGUGAAAGAUCUGUAUGACAAGCACUACAAGUCCCUAAAGUCCCUGAAGAAAGAAAUCAAGAAGACCUCAGAAUAUGGACAGAUUUCCCAUGCCCAUGGAUGGGUAGGAUUAACAUAGUGAAAAUGACCAUUUUACCAAAAGCAGUCUACAGAUUCAAUGCAAUCCCCACCAAAAUUCUAACACAAUCUUCAUAGACAAGAGAAAACAAUUCUCAACUUCAUAUGGAAAAACAAAAAACCCAGGAUAGCAAAACCAAUUCUCAACAAUAAAAGAACUUCUGGGGGGAAUCACUAUCCCUAACCUCUUGGCUGUACUGCAGAGCAAUAAUGAUAAAACUGCAUGGUAUUAGUACAGAGAAAGACAGGUCAAUCAAUGGAAUAGAAUUGAAGACGCAGAAAUAAACCCACACACCUAUGGUCACUUGAUCUUUGACAAAGAAGCCAAAACCAUACAGUAGAAAAAAGACAGUAUCUUCAACAAAUGGUACUGGUCCUGUUGGUGGUCUGCUUGUAAAAGAUUGCAAAGUGAUCCAUAUUUAUCACUUUAUACAAAGCUCAAGUUCAAGUGGAUCAAGGGCCUCCACAUAAAACCAUAUACACUGAAUAUAUAGAAGAGAAAGUGGGAAAUAGCCUUGAAUACAUUGGCACAGGGGAAAUUUUCCUGAACAAAACUCCAAUGGCUCAGGCUCUAAGAUCAACAAUUGACAAAUGGGACCUGAAAACUGAAAAGGCAAAGGACAUUCAAUAGGACAAAAUGGCAACCUACAGAUUGGGAAAAAAAUCCUCACUAACCCUACAUCCAAAAGAGGGCUAAUAUCCAAAAUAUAUAAGAACUCAAGAUGUUAGACUCAAAAAAACCAAAUAACUCAGUUAAAAAAUGGGGUACAGAGUUAAAUGAAUUCUCAAUAGAGGAAUCUCAAAUGGCUGGGAAGCACUUAAAAAAAAAAAAGUUCAACAUCCUUAGUCAUCAGGGAAAUGUAAAUCAAAAACAACCCUGAAAUUCUAUCAGAAUGCCCAAGGCC